GCGCCGCCGGCCGGCAGGGCGGAGCCGGCGGCGGGGCGGCACAAAGUGUUCCGGAUCAGUGCCGGGAGGGCCUGCCAGUUCACGGCGCGCCUGCGGCGGAAACUAACCACCGAAACCCAGAUUUGUGAGGCUGUGACUUCAUCGAGAAAAGAGCUGUACAAUCUAAUGUUGAACCAGGAACUACUUUGAAUUAGUAGUUUGCCUGGUAAUGAGGAGGUAUCAAGAAUUGCUGCAUUAUUACACAUUGUGCAAAUAUUCCAAGACAGCCUAAGCAGCCCAAAUCAGAACAAUGCCACAUGAAAAACCUGAUUUGCAACUUCUGAAGGAGGUCAAAAGUGAAUCAUCACCACCGGGCAUGGUGGUGCAUGCCUGUAAUCCCCAGCACUUGGGAGGCUGAGGCAGGAGGAUCCCCAUGAGUUUGAAGCCAGCCUGGAAUACAUAGUGAGUUCAAGGCCAGCCAACUACAUAGUGAGAACCUGUUUCAAAAAGCCAAAAAAAGGUGAAUUACCAGAUUACUCAUGCAUGGGUGAUGAAAAUGAUAAUGACAUUGGCCAUGUGAGCCAAAGUUCCUGUGACAAUGAAAUGGAGCAAAAAUUGACAGAUACAAACACAAGGAAUGCAGACCUCCUUGAUUCAGAUCACGAAGAAAACAGCAAUGUGAGUACAUAUUUGACUAGUCAAAAUGUUGCAAAAUGGUCAUGAAACCAAAUGGAACGAUCCAAUGUUAGAACUAGGUCCAAAAAUAUAGUUAGGACCAUGGCAGGGGUGAAACCUAUUGGACAGAAUGCCAGCACUGCUAUUCAGUGUUGGAAAUUGUAACAGAUGAAAUGCUACAAGGUGUUGUAAAAGGUACAAAGGCUGAAAUACAAGUAAAACAUUCUGUAUGCACCAAUAUUCAAAAAUGUAUUUAUUAUACAUUUACUAGUUUGAACUGAAAGCAUUCAUAAGCCUGCUAUACUUAGCGGGGAUUUCUCAUGGAAAUUACAGGAAUGUAAAAAACUUAUAGAAAAGUGGGAGGUCAAAAUAUGGCAUAAAAAUUUAUGCCCUUUUAGAUGUGAAGACUUGUUAUGUUUUCAAUUUAGAAAUUUAUCUUGGAAUUAACCCACUAGGUUCUUAUUUGUGUAGUGAGAAAUCCAAUGCGCCCAUCUCCCAAACUAAUUGGAAUGUGACAUUCAAUAACUGGUUUACCAAGCUAGGUGUGUGACGCAUGCCUAUAAUCCCAGAACUUGAGAGGCUGAGUCAGGAGAAUCACUGCAAGUUCUAGGCCAGGCUGGGCUACAUAGUGAAUUCAAGGACACCCUGAACUACAUAGUGAGACCCUGUCUCAAAACAUAUUUUUUAAAAAUAAUUGGUUUUCCAGUUUCUGAUAGAUGUUACAUUUACCAACAGAGUGCAGGUUGACCAGUGCAGGAACUGUAUGCAGGAACAUAGCAGAAAUUCCAAAUGAAAUGUUGUGAUUUCCAAGCAGAGAAUUGUAUAGUACAAUCUUUGGAUUUCAGAAAGAUUUACAUUGGCCUUGUAUAUGGCACAGAAAAACAAACAGGUACUGAUGAUGUCAACAUUGAACCAUAACGGAAAUACUGGUAUGGAAACCUCCACAAAAUGGAAGCCUGGGAUAGAAACUUUCAACAAAACCAAAGGGGAGAUGUUAUUGACGAGUUAUGCAGUAAUGAUGAUGUCACUUGAAACACAAAACAUUGCCCAAUGGUUGUGUUUUACUCGAUCCUAAACAUGUAUGGCAUAAAUACUUUACAAGAAAAAUAACAAGUGCAAAAUACCAUGGAGAAAUUUUCUUAGAGGAUUAGGACUGGAACUCAUAAGAGAUCAUUUACCGCAGAGGAAAAACAAAAUCUUUCUGCUCAGGGAAUUAUACAAAAAAAUUAUGGAGCACACUGGUGAGCUGACAGGUGAACAGGUAGGCACAGCAUCACAAAGACCUACUAUGAUAACAGGAAAACCAAAAAGAUGUCAACUGUACCCUACAAUUAAGUACAGGAAAAACAUAUGCGCUAUCAGUAUAAGGAAUACUUAUGUAUGGAGCAUGCAGUUUUCAUGUGUGAAGAUUCCCUUGGGUGUGACAGUUGAAGCAAAGAUUAUUUCUGUGGUAGACUUUUGUUUCUAUUUAGGUUGUAGUUCACAUAGGUUUUUAUUUCUGAUGUUAUAGUUUAGGUUUUGUAAGCAAGUAAAGAGCUGAUGUGAAGAUGGUGAUGACUAUUCUAAGCGCUCAUUAUAUAUUUGAUAUUUUAUCUUAUUGAUGUCUUAUUUUCUUGCUAAAUGCACAUUGUACAAUAUAGUAGGAAGCUUCUGACAAAAUAGGAAGAGAACCGAGAUGACAAGAAUGGCCUGCCACAUAGGGAAGGGAAUCUAAGCACAUGUACUGUCAGUUUAAGCGAGAUGUGUGCAUGGAACAUGCAGUUGUCAUGUGUGAAGACUGCCUUCAGUGUGACAGCUGAAGCAUAGAUUAUUUUUAUUGUAGAAUUCUAUUGGUAUUUUCAUUGUAGUUCAUACAGGAAUUCAUUUCUGAUGUUAAGUUUUAGGUUUUUUAGGCAAAUACACAGCUGAUGUGAGAAUGUUGAUGUUUAUUCUAAAUGCACAAUGCAUAUUAAGAAUUGUAUACUUUAUUUUAUUGAUAUUUUAUGUUCCUGUUAACUAUCCACUGUAUAAUAUAAUAAGAACCUCCUGACAAAACAGAAAGACCACGGAGAUGUCAAGUAUGUCUUACAAAAAGGUCAGGAAAGCAAAACAUAUGUGCUGUCAGUGUAAGUGAUACGUGUGUAUGGAAUGUGGUGUUGUCACAUGUGGAGACUACCUUAGGUGUGAUAAUUGAAGUAAAGAUUUUUUUUUUGUAGAGUGAUAUUGGUAUUUUCAUUGUAGUUCAUAUAGGAAUUUAUUUGUUGUACUUUUUUAGACUUUAUACACCAAAAAAUAGUCGAUGUUGAAAGUUUGAUGCUUUUUUAUAAACAAUAAAUAUUAAAAAUUCAAUACAAUGACAUUCAUCAUUGGAAAUUUGCAACUUUACAUAGUCUCUCUUGGUUCUUAUUUUUCACCCUUCCCCAGCCCUCCCUUCAACCCCUCCAUUCCUCCCUAUUUACAAAGAUUUUGUUCCUAUUUUUCCUUUUUCUCAUCUUAAUCCCGUUCCCUUCUAUCCUUUCCCCUACCCCUCCCACUUCCUUCCUCUUUUCCCCUUUUCUUCCUAUUUCACAUUACCUAUUAUACAUUUAGUCCUUAUUUACACUUUCAGUUUCUCACAC
ensembl:lncRNA